UACGAAGGGGGCGAGCGUUAUUCGGAAUCACUGGGCGUAAAGCGUGCGUAGGCUGUCUUAAAAGUUAGAAGUGAAAGCCCCAGGCUCAACUUGGGAAUUGCUUUUAAUACUGUAAGACUCGAAUUCGGGAGAGGAUAGCGGAAUUAUCAGUGUAGCAGUGAAAUGCGUAGAUAUUGAUAGGAACACCAGUGGCGUAAGCGGCUAUCUGGCCCGACAUUGACGCUGAGGCACGAAAGCGUGGGGAUCAAACAGG
rnacentral:rRNA from 1 species